CCACCCAAUGCGCCGCCAAUGCCGGCCUCGGUGGUGCCGCCUGCCAUGGCAACGCCGCUGAGCAAGCUGAAAGACAACAACAGUAUCGAGGAGUACUUCUUCAUCAAGAGAGCCUCAUUAGGAUGACGGGGCGAUUUUUUGAGCCUUACAGGCGAGGCUGGCAACGGAAAUCCGACGAGUAACACGAGUUGUACACAAUUCUCUAACUUACUGUAUUUACUGUGAAACUUUAUCGUUUUUUCGCUGUCUGAGACCUUUAUGACGAAGCCCUGAACCUUGCUGGAACAGGGCUUUUUUCGUUUUUAGCGGCACGCCUUCCGGCCUCUUCGCGGGCACGCCCGCUCCCACAGGAAUUCCACAUGUUUCGAUUCCUGUGCUGUACCUGUGGGAGCGGGCGCG
rnacentral:sRNA from 1 species